UGACGUAAGCGCAAAUUGAGCAACGUAGCUCAAACUGCGUGCCGCUUGCCAAAUACACCUUCCACCUAAAUGAGAGACUGCAUGCGUAUUUCCCAGCUAAUAAUACUUAACAGACUCCCCGGCCUCCCCCACCCGCUGAGUGGCUUGGUAACGAGCUUUCGCCAAAAAUACAGAAAAAGGGUUUUCAUGGAAAACCGGUUGUGCACCACC